rnacentral:rRNA from 1 species
UACGUAGGGGGCAAGCGUUGUCCGGAUUUACUGGGCGUAAAGAGCGUGUAGGCGGCCACGCAGGUCCGCUGUGAAAACUGAAGGCUCAACCUCCAGACGUCGACGGAAACCGUAUGGCUAGAGUCCGGAAGAGGAGAGUGGAAUUCCUGGUGUAGCGGUGAAAUGCGCAGAUAUCAGGAAGAACACCAAUGGCGAAGGCAGCACUCUGGGACGGUACUGACGCUGAGACGCGAAAGCGUGGGGAGCGAACAGG